rnacentral:rRNA from 1 species
CCUACGGGCGGCAGCAGUGGGGAAUAUUGGACAAUGGGCGAAAGCCUGAUCCAGCCAUGCCGCGUGUGUGAAGAAGGCCUUCGGGUUGUAAAGCACUUUCAGUGGGGAAGAAAGCCUUGGGGCUAAUACCCUCGAGGAAGGACAUCACCCACAGAAGAAGUACCGGCUAACUCCGUGCCAGCAGCCGCGGUAAUACGGAGGGUGCGAGCGUUAAUCGGAAUUACUGGGCGUAAAGCGCGCGUAGGCGGUCUGAUAAGCCGGUUGUGAAAGCCCCGGGCUCAACCUGGGAACGGCAUCCGGAACUGUCAGGCUAGAGUGCAGGAGAGGAAGGUAGAAUUCCCGGUGUAGCGGUGAAAUGCGUAGAGAUCGGGAGGAAUACCAGUGGCGAAGGCGGCCUUCUGGACUGACACUGACGCUGAGGUGCGAAAGCGUGGGUAGCAAACAGGAUUAGAUACCCCUGUAGUC